CGAAAGCCUGACGGAGCAAGACCGCGUGAGGGAGGAAGGCUCUUGGGUUGUAAACCUCUUUUCUCAGGGAAGAAGCUCUGACGGUACCUGAGGAAUCAGCAUCGGCUAACUCCGUGCCAGCAGCCGCGGUAAUACGGAGGAUGCAAGCGUUAUCCGGAAUCAUUGGGCGUAAAGCGUCCGCAGGUGGUCAUUCAAGUCUGCUGUUAAAGACAGAAGCUCAACUUCUGAUAGGCAGUGGAAACUGGAUGACUAGAGUAUGGUAGGGGUUGAGGGAAUUCCCAGUGUAGCGGUGAAAUGCGUAGAUAUUGGGAAGAACACCAGUGGCGAAGGCGCUCAACUGGGCCAUAACUGACACUCAGGGACGAAAGCUAGGGUAGCG
rnacentral:rRNA from 1 species